GCGGUACCGUCAUCCCCACGUGCUAUUAACACGUAGUCUUUCUUCCCACUUAACAGAAGUUUACGAUCCUAAAACCUUCAUCCUUCACGCGGCGUCGCUGCGUCAGGCUUUCGCCCAUUGCGCAAUAUUCCUC
rnacentral:rRNA from 1 species